GGCUCAGGAGCGUCGGACUCAUAAUCCGAGGGUUGAAGGUUCGAGUCCUUCCGGAUCCA
rnacentral:tRNA from 1 species